rnacentral:rRNA from 1 species
GACGAACGCUGGCGGCGUGCCUAAUACAUGCAAGUAGAACGCUGAAGAGAGGAGCUUGCUCUUCUUGGAUGAGUUGCGAACGGGUGAGUAACGCGUAGGUAACCUGCCUGGUAGCGGGGGAUAACUAUUGGAAACGAUAGCUAAUACCGCAUAAAAUUGAUUAUUGCAUGAUAAUUAAUUGAAAGAUGCAAUUGCAUCACUACCAGAUGGACCUGCGUUGUAUUAGCUAGUUGGUGAGGUAACGGCUCACCAAGGCGACGAUACAUAGCCGACCUGAGAGGGCGAUCGGCCACACUGGGACUGAGACACGGCCCAGACUCCUACGGGAGGCAGCAGUAGGGAAUCUUCGGCAAUGGGGGGAACCCUGACCGAGCAACGCCGCGUGAGUGAAGAAGGUUUUCGGAUCGUAAAGCUCUGUUGUAAGAGAAGAACGGGUGUGAGAGUGGAAAGUUCACACUGUGACGGUAUCUACCAG